UAGGGAAUCUUCCACAAUGGACGCAAGUCUGAUGGAGCAACGCCGCGUGAGUGAAGAAGGCUUUCGGGUCGUAAAACUCUGUUAUUGAAGAAGAACGUGCGUGACAGUAACUGGUCAUGCAGUGACGGUAUUCAAUCAGAAAGUCACGGCUAACUACGUGCCAGCAGCCGCGGUAAUACGUAGGUGGCAAGCGUUGUCCGGAUUUAUUGGGCGUAAAGCGAGUGCAGGCGGUCUUUUAAGUCUGAUGUGAAAGCCUUCGGCUUAACCGAAGAAGGGCAUCGGAAACUGGGAGACUUGAGUGCAGAAGAGGAGAGUGGAACUCCAUGUGUAGCGGUGAAAUGCGUAGAUAUAUGGAAGAACACCAGUGGCGAAGGCGGCUCUCUGGUCUGUAACUGACGCUGAGGCUCGAAAGCGUGGGUAGCAAACAGGAUUAGAUACCCUGGUAGUCCACGCCGUAAACGAUGAAUAC
rnacentral:rRNA from 1 species